rnacentral:tRNA from 1 species
CUAAGGGUAGUUUAAUUUAAAAUAUUAAUUUUGGAGAUUAAAGAUAAAGAUAUUUUCCCUUUGA